rfam:Danio rerio chromosome 4, GRCz11 reference primary assembly.
GUAUUGGUGGUUCAGUGGUAGAAUUCUCGCCUGCCACGCGGGAGACCCGGGUCCGAUUCCCGGCGAAUGCA